GGCCUGAUCGGCCACUUGACCAGCCCCUCCGUUGUCUGGAAUUAGAAGACGAUGUGUUUCCAUCAUAAUAUUCUUCAAUUUCAGGUUUGAAAAUUUGGAAGAAGUGGCUGUCAAAAAAGUAUUGAGGGGUUGAGAAAAAUGAGGAGACCAAUUUCUAAUACACCAAAACAUUUUUUUUCUGCACAGAAAGCACAAUAUAUAUUAAAGGAAUUAAACACAAUACUCAGUAAUCCACUA